rnacentral:lncRNA from 1 species
GGGUGAGCGGUGGGCGCCUGAGAGCACCCUGUCCAGGGUGAGGUGGGUUGCAGUUGGCUCCACCACCAUCCCCCGUGGGACCUUGAGCAAGUUACUAGCACAGUGGAGCUUCGGUCUCCUCACUUGCGAAGUGGGGUAAAUCACAGCAGCCACCUGAGCUUGAGUGCACAGAGAGGGGCACCGCGAGUGGACUUGGCCACCUCGGGCGACACACACGCAGAUUCUGACUUUGGUGUUUGAAAAUGCUACACUGCCUCGAAGUUCGAGUUUGGCCUCAGCUGGAGCCAGACCCUUCCCAGGCCUGACGUUCUGUCCAUCUGCCCGACGCCUGCCACAGGGAGGGGCCGUCUCCGGGAGCCGGAGGAGCUGAGAUGUGAACGCGUCCAUGCCCCUCGAAGCUGCCAGCAGCCUCUCUGGAGCCAGGAUCCCCGAGGCCAGACAAAGGUGCCCUGGGCCUGGUGCCCGGGAGAAUUUCUCCUGGCCCAGAUGAGGCGACCUGGGGUGCCUUUGUGGAGACCACAGGUCCCGGUGGAGCUGCUCAGAUCUGAAGCCAACCUGGAGAUCGCAGGACGAGAGCCUCCUCUCAGCACUUGUGCGGCCCCACGCACCAGGGCCACAGGCACAGCCUGGCGGCUCCCAUCCCUCAAGGCCUUCAAGUCCACAGGGAUCUGGCUGCCCUUCUCCAACCUUCCCGGCCCCAGCUGCCCUGCUGCUCCC